rfam:Picea glauca, whole genome shotgun sequence.
GGGUGUGAUCAUACCAGUGUUAAUUCACCGGAUCCCAUUAGAACUCUAUAUUUAAGUGUGCUUGGGCUAUUGUAUUACUGGGAUGGGUGACCUCCUGGGAAGUCCCAGUGUUACACUGU